rnacentral:rRNA from 1 species
UGGGGAAUAUUGGGGCAAUGGGGCGAAAGCCUGACCCAGCAACGCCGCGUGAGGGAAGAAGGGUUUCGGCUCGUAAACCUCUGUCCUAUGGGACGAAGAAGGUGACGGUACCAUAGGAGGAAGCCCCGGCUAACUACGUGCCAGCAGCCGCGGUAAUACGUAGGGGGCGAGCGUUGUCCGGAAUGAUUGGGCGUAAAGGGCGCGUAGGCGGCCAUGUAAGUCUGGAGUGAAAGUCCUGCUUUUAAGGUGGGAAUUGCUUUGGAUACUGUAUGGCUCGAGUGCAGGAGAGGAAAGCGGAAUUACCGGUGUAGCGGUGAAAUGCGUAGAGAUCGGUAGGAACACCAGUGGCGAAGGCGGCUUUCUGGACUGAGACUGACGCUGAGGCGCGAAAGCGUGGGGAGCAAACAGGAUUAGAUACCCUGGUAGU